GUGCUGCAACUACAGUUACCACAACAACUGCUGAAGCAGUCAUAACAAGGGAAUUGACAUUCAGAUCUCCAGAAGAGACAUUUACAAGUGACUUGCUGAAUCCAUCAUCUGCAGCCUUUCAAGCGCGAGCCACAUUGCUAGUGUCAACACUUGGACCUUUCUACAAAGAAGCUUUUUCUUCGUUCCGCACCAUCACGGUGAAUUCAUUCAGUAAUGGAUCAAUCAUCCAAACCAUGGACUUGAGAUUUUCAUCAACAUCUGUUCCUAAUGGCACUCAGAUUGGAAAUGUUUUGGUCGGAGCAGCUUCAAACAUCACAGCGUUCAACAUUGAUACCGCCUCCAUUUCUGUAGAUGGCACACAGGUUUCAAGUGGAGUAAGCCACAACAUCAGUCUCAUCACUGCAUCCUUCCUUGUGCUGAUGUCAUGGAUCCUGUCAAGCCAGCAAUAGCAUCAUUGCUGAUUACUGUUUGAAUUGGCAUUAUUGCAUCACUGCCAUCACAGGAAUGAAAAAUUACUUCUUGAUUCUUGUCAACGAAGUCUUGUACAGCUUCAGAUAAACUUACUAUCACAUUUUAUUUUGAAAUUACUGCACAUAUUUAUGAGAGUGGAUUAGGUUAAUGUCAAUCUGAACAUGUUUCUGGGUGGGAAUGUCUAGGAUCCUUCAACGAGCAGAAUGACACAGCAAGACUAAUAAGCAACACAAAAUACCAUUAAGCCCUGAGAUGUACAAAAAAAUGUGUUCUAGCAAUAAUUAAUCAAUUAAAUAAUUAAUUAAAGGAACAGCACUGCAGGUCAUCAUGAGUUGUGUAACCCUCUGUGAACCAAAUAGGCCUAGAGUUUUAUCAUCAUGAUAUAUACGGCAUAUAUGUCAAAACAUUGCAGUCAAUUUGUUUUAUUUAUUCAAGGUAUAUUUAUGUAUUCAUGCAUAGCUGUCUUCUCUGAGGUUUCUUAAUGUUUGUACAAUAUUUGUCAGAAACUUUACAAUGAUCAGAAUAAAAGGUUUUUGAAGAAUUUAAAUCUCUUAUGUGAUGUUUUGCAAAUUUGGUGGGAAGUGUAUCAAGGAUGUUUAAUUUCUUGCUGUGUCAGUGAAUCA